AGCAGCCGCGGUAAUUCCAGCUCCAAUAGCGUAUAUUAAAGUUGUUGCAGUUAAAAAGCUCGUAGUUGAAUUUCGGGAUUUAUCCGUUGGUCGGGCUUUUUGGGCUGUACUGGCGUGAUGGAUUCCUACCUUCUGAAUAACCGGCAUGCCAUUAAUUUGGUGCGCCGGGGAAGCAGGACUGUUACCUUGAAAAAAUUAGAGUGCUUAAAGCAGGCUUAUGCCUGAAUACAUUAGCAUGGAAUAAUGAAAUAGGACGCAUGGUUCUAUUUUGUUGGUUUCUAGGAUCACCGUAAUGAUUAAUAGGGAUAGUUGGGGGCAUUAGUAUUCAAUUGUCAGAGGUGAAAUUCUUGGAUUUAUUGAAGACUAACUUCUGCGAAAGCAUUUGCCAAGGAUGUUUUCAUUAAUCAAGGACGAAAGUUAGGGGAUCGAAGACGAUCAGAUACCGUCGUAGUCUUAACCAUAAACUAUGCCGACUAGGGAUCGGACGAUGUUAAUUUUUUAAUGACUCGUUCGGCGCCUU
rnacentral:rRNA from 1 species